AUUCCAAUCGAACUUGGAGAUAGCUGGUUCUCUCCGAAAUAGCUUUAGGGCUAGCCUCGGAGUUGAGAAUCGUGGAGGUAGAGCACUGUUUGGACUAGGGGCCCGUCUUGGGUUACUGAAUUCAGAUAAACUCCGAAUGCCACUGAUUUAUAUCCGGGAGUCAGACUGCGAGUGAUAAGAUCCGUAGUCGAAAGGGAAACAGCCCAGACCACCGAUUAAGGUCCCUAAAUAUGUGUUAAGUGGAAAAGGAUGUGGAAUUGCACAGACAACUAGGAUGUUGGCUCAGAAGCAGCCACCAUUUAAAGAGUGCGUAAUAGCUCACUAGUCGAGUGAUCCUGCGCCGAAAAUGUAACGGGGCUAAACACAUUACCGAAAUCGUGGAUGCAGCUUUGCUGCAUGGUAGGAGAGCGUUCUAAGGGCGGUGAAGCCGGACCGUAAGGACCGGUGGAGCGCUUAGAAGUGAGAAUGCCGGUAUGAGUAGCGAAAGACAGGUGAGAAUCCUGUCCACCGAAUGACUAAGGUUUCCUGGGGAAGGCUCGUCCUCCCAGGGUUAGUCGGGACCUAAGCUGAGGCCGAGAGGCGUAGGCGAUGGACAACGGGUUGAUAUUCCCGUACCGGUCUGAUUUGUUUGAGCAAUGGAGGGACGCAGGAGGCUAACGAUGCGCACUAUCGGAUGUGCGUCCAAGCAGCAAGUCUGUCGGCGAGUCAAAUGCUUGCCGGCUCAAGGACAAGCUGUGACGGGUAUGAACGAUUUAUCGUUCUAAGUGAGUGACGUCACACUGCCAAGAAAAGCUUCUAGUUAGAAUCAGACCGCCCGUACCGCAAACCGACACAGGUAGUCGGGUCGAGAAGACCAAGGUGAGCGAGAGAACUCUCGUUAAGGAACUCGGCAAAAUGACCCCGUAACUUCGGGAGAAGGGGUGCUGAUCGCAAGAUCAGCCGCAGUGAAUAGGCCCAGGCGACUGUUUAUCAAAAACACAGGUUUCUGCAAAAUCGUAAGAUGAAGUAUAGGGGCUGACGCCUGCCCGGUGCUGGAAGGUUAAGAGGAUGGGUUAGCGCAAGCGAAGCUCAGAAUUGAAGCCCCAGUAAACGGCGGCCGUAACUAUAACGGUCCUAAGGUAGCGAAAUUCCUUGUCGGGUAAGUUCCGACCCGCACGAAAGGCGUAACGAUCUGGGCACUGUCUCAACGAGAGACUCGGUGAAAUUAUAAUACCCGUGAAGAUGCGGGUUACCCGCGACAGGACGGAAAGACCCCAUGGAGCUUUACUGUAGCUUGAUAUUGGGUGUUUGUACAACUUGUACAGGAUAGGUAGGAGCCGUAGAAGUCGGGACGCUAGUUUCGACGGAGGCAUCGGUGGGAUACUACCCUCGUUGUAUGAACACUCUAACCCACGCCGGCAAUCACGGCGGGAGACAGUGUCAGGUGGGCAGUUUGACUGGGGCGGUCGCCUCCUAAAAGGUAACGGAGGCGCCCAAAGGUUCCCUCAGAAUGGUUGGAAAUCAUUCGCAGAGUGUAAAGGCAUAAGGGAGCUUGACUGCGAGACCUACAAGUCGAGCAGGGACGAAAGUCGGGCUUAGUGAUCCGGUGGUUCCGCAUGGAAGGGCCAUCGCUCAACGGAUAAAAGCUACCCUGGGGAUAACAGGCUUAUCUCCCCCAA
rnacentral:rRNA from 1 species